UGUUCACAGGUGUGUGACAGAGGCAAUGGAAGCCUUCUAGCUUCAGUUGCUCAGUUUCUUUACCUUGGUGAAUGAAGUUACAACAAAUCAUUUGGGAAAGAGCAUAUCCUUCCAAACUGUCCCGCAAUAGACAUUCCCCAGAGCCUCAUCGGGAAACACUCACCUUGCACGGUUAGGUGAACCUGCAUCGUCCUCGGCGUGUGUUGGGUCUGCACAGAGCAGGUGUAGGGGCCAUCGUCUGUCACAUCAACAUUCUGUAUCUGGAGGCUGUAGUCUCUUUUAUUCAGUGUGGAAAUGGAAACUCGAGGAUCCACUGACCACUUGUCACCUCCAGCAAAAAUGAUACUUGACCUGUUGAGCCAGGCACCCUUUGAAGCUCCAUCCUCCAGAUAACACCUAAAUGGGAAUAGCCACAGAUCAUCUGAUGUAGCAUGCUCUAUUCAGGAAAUCUUAAGCUAGGGAUGCUCAUCCAUCCCGGAUGCACAGUGUAAUUCUCUCUGUGAGAUUUAAAUUUAUUGUGCAUGUAUAUGCCUGUGCUUCAGGUCAGAGCCGAACUCUCGUCCCGCUCUCUCUGUUUACACAAUGCUUACUAAAUAUAAACAAAGUCCACACAAUACUCUUCUACACGAGAUGAAGUUUCUUUGGCCUGUAGGAGUAGAGGAGGUCUGAGUGAGACACCUUUGAGCCGGUCUAACGCUGGGUAAAAUGCACCAGCUAUAGAAAGCAUAAGAGCACCACGAAGCUGAUAACCCUAAGAAAAUCUGCUCAGGAUCAAGCUUUUCAAAAUCUACUACGAACUUAAGUUUAUAAGAUAUAAGCUCCUUGUACCGAACAGCUGCUGUCAUCAAUGUAUGACUGAUACUAGAUUUCACUGACAAAACUGUGUUGGUUUUUUUCCCAAUAAGGUGUUGACUAGGUUUUU